AUGCAUCGCUUCAAACCCCAGGACACUCUUGACAGCUCUAACCAUCCGGGGGGCUGUGCAGAUGGCAGGAACCAAGGACCCUCCCUGGCAGUGGGAGAGGGCAGUUACGGGCCAGUGACAACUGGCUUCCCAAGGAAGGAGGUGCCAGGGGUCCUGGACAGGACCUGGUGUCAGACUGCCAGUCCAGGAGAUGGACCCACAGAGGUCAAGGGGCAGCCGGCUGGGCUGCACCGGGGUCCCCCAGUUCUGAGCUGUGCUAUGCAAACAAGAAUGCUCCUGAGUGUGUGGGGCAUCGCCAUUGGAGGGACGGCUGGGCGGCCAGUGGAAGGACUGGAAAUCUCUGCUGUUUGGGGAAGUCUGUCCUCCAGUCGUGAGGAGUGUGUGUGGAUUGUUCUAAGUAUGACUAUGACCCGGGAGCCAGGGCAGCAUGAACUCCUUUCUCUGAAAUUGUGAGGCCUCCUUGGGUUCCCUGAACCCUGGGCUGGCGUUCCCAGGACCCAGCACCAGGAGCCCCCAGUCCCGCCAGCACCGCCGCGCUACCCAGGAGGGCUGGGUGAUGUUGGUGCCACCUCCCACCAGCUCCCCUCCUCUCCCACAGCCUCUUGUCACUGCCAAGCCCCCCGUUCAUUUUGCCCAAAUCACGCAGGCUGAAGCUGCAGUGCCAGCUGGAGGGACAUUCGCAGGGCUUCCCAUGCCCAUCCCUGCUUCCAGACAGCUGGACAGCCUCCCCUUUACCCCCACCCUGGUGAGCCCCUGGGGGCCAGAGAAAGAUGGGGUUCCCGCAGCUUCCCAGCUCCACCUCUGAACUUGAGUUAGCAUUAGCUAAGCAUACAAUUAGUGUUGAACGUCUCUCUUCCUUAGCUUGUAGAUACGACUGUCUGUAACCAGGGGACCCCUGCUGGAAAUCGGGAGGCCAAUGCUGGCCGGGUGCCAGGGCAUGGUUUGGUUCCUUUAGGGAAUUUUUGUUCUGCAAACAGGAGAAACCUGUGCUGCAGGUGGGGGGUGGCAGGAACGACUGGCCUUGGUCAGCAGGCAGCCCCCAGCCCAGGACCACAGUGCUCUGCAGGGCCUGGGCAACCCCGUUUGUGGACCAGCAGGUUUCUCUUUCUAGUGUCUUUCAGCACAUCCAAAAUGCUAGGCCUCCCGCCACCAACGUGUCAGAGCAAUGUCCAACUGUCAGGCGCUCAGAGAUGCCUCAGUCUCCCUAGCGUGAGCACCAGCUGACACACACAGUCCACUGAGAUGAGAAUUCUGUUCUCUCCAAAGCAAAAAGCCGGGCGAGGGGAAGUCUCCAUUUCUGUCAGUGCUCAAAGGAGUAACACCAAAAGAAUCAACACAAAAAUCUCGCAGACACACGUGACCCAGCUCACGGCGCCAUGGGGCUGUAGGAGGGACAGCACCUCGCCACAGGCCCAGCAGGGGACCGCCUCUCUGUACAAUUGGAACGUGUUUUACUUUUCUUUUCUCUCCUUUUUUCAUUCUGAUUUUUUUUUUUUUUUGCAUGUUUCUUUUUGAAAAUGGACAAAAUGUGCAGCAGCCUGCAUGACCACAGUUGUUUUGGGGAAAGAUACUGAAGUAUGAUGUACUCACACCUGCAAAUCUGAGCAUCGCGAGGUUAGACAAAUGUUCCACCUUUUUUUGUAAUCGUCAACAGCACAACUAUUUUGUAUUGUUGUUUGUAUCAUUUUGUACCAAAAAAGAAAAAAAAAAAGGAAAAAAAAGGAAAAAAAAGGGAAGCGAGUUGAUGUUUUCAGUGAUGUUUCUAGUGCCAGACAGUCUUGGCCCCGAACUGAGUGGACCCUCGCGGAGCGGCUGUGCGCGGGCAGGCGGGCGCGCUGCUCCAGAGACUGAAUAAAGUCCCCCUUUU